GACGAACGCUGGCGGCGUGCUUAACACAUGCAAGUCGAACGGUGAAGCGCCUUCCUUUUUGGUGGGUGUGGAUGAGUGGCGAACGGGUGAGUAACACGUGAGUAACCUGCCCCCUUCUUCUGGAUAACCGCAUGAAAGUGUGGCUAAUACGGGAUAUUCUGGGUCUGUCGCAUGAUGGGUCUGGGAAAGAUAUUGUUUCGGUGGGGGAUGGGCUCGCGGCCUAUCAGCUUGUUGGUGGGGUGAUGGCCUACCAAGGCGGUGACGGGUAGCCGGCCUGAGAGGGUGGACGGCCACACUGGGACUGAGACACGGCCCAGACUCCUACGGGAGGCAGCAGUGGGGAAUAGUGCACAAUGGGCGCAAGCCUGAUGCAGCGACGCCGCGUGAGGGAUGGAGGCCUGCGGGUUGUGAACCUCUUUCGCCAGUGAAGCAGGCCUGCCUCGUUUGUGGGUGGGUUGACGGUAGCUGGAGAAGAAGCGCCGGCUAACUACGUG
rnacentral:rRNA from 1 species